AGCCAGACUCCUACGGGAGGCAGCAGUGGGGAAUAUUGCACAAUGGGGGGAACCCUGAUGCAGCGACGCCGCGUGGGUGAAGAAGUCAUUCGUGACGUAAAGCCCUAUCAGCAGGGAAGAAAAUGACGGUACCUGGCUAAGAAGCCCCGGCUAACUACGUGCCAGCAGCCGCGGUAAUACGUAGGGGGCAAGCGUUAUCCGGAUUUACUGGGUGUAAAGGGAGCGUAGACGGCGGCGCAAGUCCGGAGUGAAAGCCCGUGGCUCAACUGCGGAACCGCUUUGGAAACUGCGAGGCUGGAGUGCUGGAGAGGUAAGCGGAAUUCCUGGUGUAGCGGUGAAAUGCGUAGAUAUCAGGAGGAACACCGGUGGCGAAGGCGGCUUACUGGACAGUGACUGACGUUGAGGCUCGAAAGCGUGGGGAGCGAACAGGAUUAGAUACCCGCGUA
rnacentral:rRNA from 1 species